GACGGUCUAGUUCAAAUGGUAGAGCACAUGCCUAGCACGCACAAGGUCCUGGGUUCAAUUCCCAGUGCCUCCU
rfam:Camelus ferus unplaced genomic scaffold scaffold1391, whole genome shotgun sequence.